GGGGUUGUUGCUCAGUGGUUAGAGCGCUCACCUCGUUCGUGCAAGGCCCUGGGUUUGAUCCUCAGUACCCUCA
rnacentral:tRNA from 1 species